rnacentral:rRNA from 1 species
CUCUUCGGAGUGGAUUAGUGGCGAACGGGUGAGUAACACGUGGGUAAUCUGCCCUGUACUCUGGGAUAAGCCUUGGAAACGAGGUCUAAUACCGGAUAUCACACUCUUGGGCAUCCAGGGGUGUUGAAAGUUCCGGCGGUGCAGGAUGAGCCCGCGGCCUAUCAGCUUGUUGGUGGGGUGAUGGCCUACCAAGGCGACGACGGGUAGCCGGCCUGAGAGGGUGACCGGCCACACUGGGACUGAGACACGGCCCAGACUCCUACGGGAGGCAGCAGUGGGGAAUAUUGCACAAUGGGCGGAAGCCUGAUGCAGCGACGCCGCGUGAGGGAUGACGGCCUUCGGGUUGUAAACCUCUUUCGCCAGGGACGAAGCGCAAGUGACGGUACCUGGAUAAGAAGCACCG